UGCACAGAAAAAACAAAAAUCAAGGACUUCUCUGGAGGUCCAAGUGGUUAAGACUCCAAGCUCCCACUGCAGGGGGCGUGGGUUUGACCCCUGGUCCAGGAACUAAGAUCCCAUAUGCCACAUGGCGUGGCCAAAAAGUAAAUAAAUAAAGAUCCCUCAAAACGUAGUUUUGAGCAUCAAGUUAAUCAAGGUUUUAUAUUAAUUCAUAAUUUUACAUGUCUAUGCACAGAAUCUUAUUUGAUUAAAAUCUAAGGGUUUUUUUUUUUGCAAAUUAAAAAAUAAUGUUUGAGGUACUGUUUUAGCUUUAUACAACAUCAAAUAAGUAGUUUGACUGAAUUUUCACUUUUUAUAAGCUGUUUUGACAUUAAAUAAAAAUGGCCUCUGAGAAUAUAACCAAGGAUAUAUCAAUUACUAAAGCACAAGCUCAAUAAAAUAACAUAAUUAAGAUAUGGAGAUAAUAUAGUUACUAUGAAAAUAAAAAUGAAACAAAACCCAGUUUGGACCUAUGCACAAAAUAAUCAUCAUUUCUAUGUUUAAAAUUCAUUCCAUUUAAUAAUCAUGAAAUGUUCAUCUGAUGCAAUGUAUUCACUUGUGACAUGAAACGAAAAUACAUGUCAUUUUCUGUACAGUGUUUUUAAUUGCUGUCUAUUAGAUAAUCAACCUCAAGAAAUGUAGGAGAAAAAACAACUAGCAAUUGACAAUGUCAGGAACCUUAUAUUUUCUCAAUUAGAAACCCUAAAAAGGCAAAGUUCCAAUGAAUGAGGUCACUCUUUAAUUUGUACAAGAAUAGUUUACCUGGGAGAACAAUUUUUACCAAGUUAUAAUAAUAAAAAGAAUUAGGAAAACUAACACUCAUU